GCGAGGCGGGCUGUUCGAAGGCGCGGCUCGGGUCGGCCCGGCGGGGAAGCGGCUCCCUCAGGCGGCCAUUCGCGCAUGCGCCGUCGCUGCCCCAGCGCCUCAGCUGGGCGGGGGGGCGCCGAGGGUUAAACACAAGGUGAAUAAGCAUGUCAAUUGUUACAGUCCAGCUCGGACAGUGCGGUAAUCAAAUCGGUCGUGAGGUAUUUAAUGCUAUCUGCAGUGAUGUCCACGGCACACACGGACUGUGUUCCAAGAAGGAGAAUGAAUCCUACCAUGACGCAUGUAAAGAACGCUUUUUCAUCGAGGCAGAAUCUGGAGUACCUGUUGCCCGGGCUGUGCUUGUUGACAUGGAACCUAAAGUAAUCAGCCAAACGUUGUCAAUAGCUGCCAAGUCUGGCUACUGGAAGUACGAUGAUCACUCACACUUCUGUCAGAAGCAAGGGUCUGGGAACAACUGGGCAAAUGGUUACACUGUUCAUGGGCCUAGACACAAAGAAGUAAUCAUGAAUCUGGUACAAAAAGAAGCAGAGAAAUGUGACCGACUGGGUGGAUUUUUCACGAUAAUGAGCAUGGCUGGUGGUACAGGAUCUGGUUUAGGAGCAUUUGUGACCCAGUGCUUAAGAGAUGCUUUUCCAUCUUCGUUUAUACUAAACCAUGUUAUCUGGCCCUACGGCACCGGUGAGGUCAUUGUUCAAAAUUACAACUCUGUUUUGACUCUGUCACAUCUGUAUCAGUCAUCAGAUGCUCUUCUUGUUCACGAAAAUGAUGUCAUCCACAAGAUCUGUGCUCAGCUGAUGCAUAUGAAACAGAUUUCCUUCAGGGAUGUAAAUCAAAUCAUUGCACAUCAGCUGGGGAGUGUUUUCCAGCCCACUUACACAGCAGAAGGCUUACACUAUAGCAGAAACCCAUUAGGAGACUUAAUGGAGGCAUUAGUUCCACAUCCUGAAUUCAAGAUGUUGGGUCUUCGUAACAUACCUCAGAUGCCUGAAAAUUCCCUUGCAUAUAGCACAUUCAGUUGGCCUGGACUCAUCAAACAUCUAAGGCAAAUGCUUAUUGCUAAUGCUAAAAUGGAAGAAGGUAUUGAUUGGCAAGUACAGCCGCCACGUCCAGGCUCCUCCAUUCCCUCCAGCCAUUCCACAAACAAGCUGCUGCAUUUCAAUACUUCCAUUGCCAACCUGGUUAUCCUGAGAGGAAAAGAUACGCACAGUGCAGACUUAGGAAGUUUCCGAGACCCUUCAUUAUAUACGUCAUGGUUAAACCCUCAGGACGCUUUCAGUGCAUGGAAAACACCAAGAGCAUUUAAUAAGUAUGAAAAGUCUGCUUCUUUGGUUAGCAAUAGCCAGUUCCUGCUGAAACCUCUUGACAAUGUUGUACAAAAAGCUUGGAAUAUGUUUGCUUCCAAAGCCUAUGUUCACCAGUACACUAAAUAUGGAAUUGAAGAGGAAGACUUCUUGGACAGCUUCACAGCUCUGGAACAAGUUAUCUCCAGUUACACCGUCCUUUAAUUUUUGAAAUGGUCUCUUCCCAAAAGAAUUCAGCACCGGAAGACCUUCCAUCAGCUUCUUAAAGCCAGGAACAGGAGCACUAAAAUCGCCCCAGGAGCAACUGUUCUUAAAGUAGCUCUGGCACAUGAGAUCUGGAACGGCAAACAAAUUUGUUGACAAAAUUCAAGUAACUGUACAAUUGAACCUGAAGUAAUCUCCUUAUGCAAUAUGCGCGGGUGCACGUGACUGGGUCACAAGAGGUCAUCUGGACUGAAGUGAGACAUGAGGAUCAGGGAAUCAAAUACAAAAUUUGUUUUUAUGGAAAUGUCCUGAAAUUACAGCUAUCAAGAAAGCAGCUGCAGCAAAUGAGAAGCACGGCAGAGGUUUUGUGAACACGGCUAGAUUAGUACGGAGUUGUAAACCUAAAGGUUCAUUUUUCCUUUAAGUCCAGUUUCUUUCAGAGGCAGAAAAGAAAUGCCGAGCACCCAAAAUUGCUGUUUCAAGCCUUUUAACAGAUGGAAUGAACCCAAUAAACACGUAGUCUCAGGAAAAAAGACAAAUGGUCCCUUAAAACUCACAUGGUUUCUACAUGCAAGUGCGAGCCUUAAAUGAAGUAUUUGUGGUUAGGUUGGCAUUAGUUACUUUUGCAAGAGAAUUGCCAGUUUCUUUCCUGACAUAUUGGAAGGAAAAUAGAGGUGCCACAAAGUCACUGCAUACAAACAGAACAAGCUUUGGGAAAAGCAUCUAAUCUUUCAAAAAAAAAAAAAUAUUAGACUUUGUCAAAUGGUUCAAAGCAGAUCUUAACCUUCCCAGGCACACAGGCCACUGGUGGUGCCCAAGUAGCUUGGAGCUCUGGCUGACAUCUGCCAUAUCGAUGCCACCUUCCAAAGAAAAGGCUUUAGAUCUUAAAUUUCAUGUAGAUCGGCCAGUAUUCAAGAAAGUUCACGGGUGACUACCUGCAGACUGAUGUCAGCAAUCCUAACAGUGAUCGCAAUCUUGCAUAAAAUCAGGCUGCACUUCAGUGUUCAUAAAUUUCCCUAGAUUUGAGACGCUUUAAAUCACCUGCAAACACAGUCCUUCUCUCACAGGAUCUCUCACGGAGGAGGACCACAGAAAUCACCAGAGAAGACACCUUUUACACGGACAGAAAAGCAGUUUCUGAGGCCAUCAGGAGAUGGGUGCGGUUUGCAGAGCAGCUAUCAGAGCAGGGAACAAUACACCGAGCUGACAAGUCCUAUCUCCUGCUUUUCAUCAGGAAAUAGCAGCUAGUUUCCUUAUUACCAACUGCCUGGGCAACUCAUUUAAGCUUCUUGGGAAAGCAGAACAAUUAAGCUGGGAGUAACUCCCUUGAAACACGGAAGAUGCAGCAUGCUUACAUACCCAUAUCUGAACAGCUUGUCAAAUGAGGUUUAAAGAAAGGUGACCUUUGGUUUAAUGCUAAUGUAGUCAAUACUCUCUGAAUCAUUCCAUGAGUGAAUAAUAAAAAACCCUCCAGCAGUAAAAAGGGCAAUGUUAAAGGCAAACUAAAACGAAGCCUGGGCCAUUUAACAGGUUCACAAGUGCAUUUCUUAUUUUCUAACACAACCAAACACCACUGUCAGUGAACAAGCUGAAUGACUUCAGAGCCCAACAGCCUGUUCAGUCUGAAUUCAACACAGUCAUACUCAGCUUUUUUAACCAAAAUUCCCUUUGGCUGAAUUCCUGCCGCACACCAAGAAGCCCAGCACAGGUGGCUGGGCAGUUCCUGUCUGCUUUUACCUGGAGGGCCAGAUGUCUGAAGGACAUUUGAUGACCGUUUCUGCAUUUGAGCUCCUUUCACUUUGACAACUGGCCCAAGUUGUCACAGCCUCUCCUCUUCACGCCACUACCAAAAUAUUGCUCUGCUGCCUUUUAUGGAUGCAUCAAUAAGCAAGUGAAAGAGGUAAAGAAAUGCCAGUCGCUAGCAUGUUGUGCCCUCAAUUAGAAACAUGAAUGACAAAGUCACAGCUCAGAGUUUUUCUGCAUAAUCCCUUUAAAAAUGAGUUUGCAAGAGCAUAUGCAAAUAUUUACCCUCUAUCUGGUUCUGAAUACAUUCGCAGGCUGUUUCACAAGGAAAGAGAUUGCUUCACUCCCUGUUUCCUGAAGAGGUUCCAGCAAUCCACCGAGGUUCCAGCAAUUAAACCCUCACCUGGACCAGUCUGGGGUGAGAGCCCAGCAGGAAACCCUCCCUGGCUCGCCCCCCUUCAUGCCCCACUUAAUGCUGCAAUCCAGUCAAGGCUAGGUAAAGUACUUACUGUGUAGUUUUUUCUUCUUCCCCUCCACAGAAAUAAAAAAUAAAAAAAUAUGGAAAAAAAAAACACAGAAAUUUAAAUCCCAGAAGAGCAAUUUCAAUUACUUUGAUUGAUUACGUUGAACCUUUUAACUGCUGAUUACAGAGUAUUUUUUUAACCAUCUGCUUCAAAGAAAACUGCAAUUAUUUUUACCUCCAAGGAACACACCCAAUCACCGCUUCUUUCUACAUCUGCAAUAAAUUUUGUCCACUAA